UAGGCACUAUCUUCUUGACUUGAUGAGAGUAACUCCUCGUGUUGCAAACUAUACUGGACCUGGAUCUUGAUUUUGUAUUUUGAGACAGGAACUAGUCACAGCUUUUUGCCAGGCCCAAGCUGCAGGGAGAUCGAAACAGAGUUCAAGCUCUGAUACUGUCCGUGACUCACCAACUGAUUCUUUAAGAGUUGCCAGAGAUAACGGACUUGGGAAUGCUGAUGCUGGUGUUGGAGGAUUUUCCGACAGUAAGGUAGUUACCCUAUCUUUUCCCUUCAAUUGGUAUUGGGCAAUUAUAGUUUAGUUCUAUCCAGGCAUUUGUAAACUUGGCAUUAUAUCUCUUGAAUAUCACAUCAGGGCAUUGUGUAUGUAUCAUUCAGAUGA